rnacentral:rasiRNA from 1 species
UGGUCCUUGAACGAUAGUCUGCGAU